CCAACAGCCCAUCAACAUUAACUGAAUCAUGAUUGUGUGGGAGAGAAUGAUCCAUGAUAGUGCUUCUGCAUAACAUGAUAGCUGCUGAAACAGAAACAUUUUAUACCAGAAAAUUUCCUGAGAGGAAAAUUAUCCCCAACAGUCCUUCAAGUAUGUGUAUGCCUUGAAACAUAACACAAUGAAGAAGAAAAAAAAAAUAAUUAGAAAAAGAGUUACUCAGGACUGUGAACAGCCAUAUGAACUAUUGGACAGGGAAAAAAAAAAAAAAGGCUACUUCUUUAUCAAGAUUGACAGCAUAAUUUCCAAAGCUGACCAUGAGCCUCUUUCAGUGGAAGUUCUCCCUGAACUUCUUCUUCUCAGAACCAUCCACAGGAAAUUCUCAUCGGGCAAUAAGACCAUCCCAGGAAGAGCUGAUGAUCAUAGGGCUGAAAGGGUAUGUUUUUCA
rnacentral:lncRNA from 1 species